rnacentral:rRNA from 1 species
AAUGAACGCUGGCGGCAUGCCUAACACAUGCCAGUCGAACGAAGGCUUCGGCCUUAGUGGCGCACGGGUGCGUAACGCGUGGGAAUCUGCCCCUUGGUUCGGAAUAACAGUUAGAAAUGACUGCUAAUACCGGAUGAUGACGAAAGUCCAAAGAUUUAUCGCCGAGGGAUGAGCCCGCGUAGGAUUAGCUAGUUGGUGUGGUAAGAGCGCACCAAGGCGACGAUCCUUAGCUGGUCUGAGAGGAUGAUCAGCCACACUGGGACUGAGACACGGCCCAGACUCCUACGGGAGGCAGCAGUGGGGAAUAUUGGACAAUGGGCGAAAGCCUGAUCCAGCAAUGCCGCGUGAGUGAUGAAGGCCUUAGGGUUGUAAAGCUCUUUUACCCGGGAUGAUAAUGACAGUACCGGGAGAAUAAGCUCCGGCUAACUCCGUG